rnacentral:lncRNA from 1 species
UUGGGUCGUGAUAUUUCUCCUAUUGGGCCGAAUGGAUUGGGCCUACUUAUUCAGUUAGUCCAUUGGAUCUUCACUAUUGGGUGUUGACAUUAUUGGGCCUAGUCAUUUUAUUAUCUUUGUUAAGUCCUUCUAAUAUCAGACCAAAUCAGUGGGUCGACCCAUCAGAUAUUUAAAUAUCUACAUCUUUGACCAGUGAUGAUAACAAAGAUAUGACUAACUGAUAUCUUACAUGGCAUUAAUGAGGAUUGGACAGUCGGUCAGCGGUGGACAGAGGGGAUGGGAUUAACAGGAAAGCUACCUGCGGUGGGUAGGGUCAGGAGGGUCAGUGGCACAAGGAACCGAGUCUUGUAUUAUAGCAAGGAAGUCUUUGUAAUACAGGUACGUUUUACAUUCAUAUACACACACACAACUGAGAAUAUCUAUCUAUCUCUCUCAAUACACUAGACCACAUAUUCCUCCAUUGUUAACCUUGUGAACACGUACUAAUUCUCACGCCUGAGCUAUCCCCCGACGGAACCGCCGUCAAGCUUUCGGUGUUGACUGUGUUUACUGUGCAGGAUCAGGACGUCUUACGUGAUUGGGACGUGGAGAAAGAUCUUGGCGUUAACAUUGGCGCUAGAAGGAGGGCCUUUUUUCUAGUGUUUUUGAGUUAUCAAUCACAAUAUUUCCAGUUGUUCUACAUCGGAAGUUACGGCACAGAUCAAGGGGUUCUCGUUCGAGAUCUCAUGGCGAAGCCCGAAGAUAGUUGGUCUUUGCUGCUGACAAAGAGCAUGAUCGUGGCCGAAGGCAAGUAAAAGGCAUCCUGCCUAGAACUCGUCGUCGAAGUGGUCAGGCUGAUGAAGAUGGUGGACGAAGCAUAUAGAUCUUUAGGCGUACCACAUCUUUCAGACUGGGCGUAAUUGAAUGCUUUGUUCCUCAUCUUGGCAAUCCGAAGAAUCUGCACAACCAAAUCCUUGCUCUGCUCAGCUACAUCCUCGCUCCGCUCCAAGAGAACCUCCAAAGAUCUAUACAUUUUGAGGACAUAUCUCAAGGUGAUCCUCACGACCAAAGAAGACCCAACAGCCAUUUUCCUGAUUGACCGAAGAGGGUAUCCCGCCCUAUUUGUCUUCGGGAUCAUGGUCGAAGCAGAGUAGAUGAAGACCCAACAGCCAUUUUNNN